UACGUAGGGUGCAAGCGUUGUCCGGAAUUAUUGGGCGUAAAGAGCUUGUAGGCGGUUUGUCGCGUCUGCUGUGAAAUUUCGGGGCCCAACCCCGAACUUGCAGUGGGUACGGGCAGACUAGAGUGUGGUAGGGGAGACUGGAAUUCCUGGUGUAGCGGUGAAAUGCGCAGAUAUCAGGAGGAACACCGAUGGCGAAGGCAGGUCUCUGGGCCACUACUGACGCUGAGAAGCGAAAGCAUGGGGAGCGAACAGG
rnacentral:rRNA from 1 species